CCUACGUGCGGCAGCAGUGGGGAAUAUUGGACAAUGGGCGAAAGCCUGAUCCAGCCAUGCCGCGUGUGUGAAGAAGGCCUUCGGGUUGUAAAGCACUUUCAGUGGGGAAGAAAGCCUUGGGGCUAAUACCCUCGAGGAAGGACAUCACCCACAGAAGAAGCACCGGCUAACUCCGUGCCAGCAGCCGCGGUAAUACGGAGGGUGCGGGCGUUAAUCGGAAUUACUGGGCGUAAAGCGCGCGUAGGCGGUCUGAUAAGCCGGUUGUGAAAGCCCCGGGCUCAACCUGGGAACGGCAUCCGGAACUGUCAGGCUAGAGUGCAGGAGAGGAAGGUAGAAUUCCCGGUGUAGCGGUGAAAUGCGUAGAGAUCGGGAGGAAUACCAGUGGCGAAGGCGGCCUUCUGGACUGACACUGACGCUGAGGUGCGAAAGCGUGGGUAGCAAACAGGAUUAGAUACCCUAGUAGUC
rnacentral:rRNA from 1 species